rnacentral:rRNA from 1 species
AUUGAACGCUGGCGGCAGGCCUAACACAUGCAAGUCGAACGGUAACAGGAAGCAGCUUGCUGCUUUGCUGACGAGUGGCGGACGGGUGAGUAAUGUCUGGGAAACUGCCCGAUGGAGGGGGAUAACUACUGGAAACGGUAGCUAAUACCGCAUAACGUCGCAAGGCCAAAGAGGGGGACCUUAGGGCCUCUUGCCAUCGGAUGUGCCCAGAUGGGAUUAGCUAGUAGGUGGGGUAACGGCUCACCUAGGCGACGAUCCCUAGCUGGUCUGAGAGGAUGACCAGCCACACUGGAACUGAGACACGGUCCAGACUCCUACGGGAGGCAGCAGUGGGGAAUAUUGCACAAUGGGCGCAAGCCUGAUGCAGCCAUGCCGCGUGUAUGAAGAAGGCCUUCGGGUUGUAAAGUACUUUCAGCGGGGAGGAAGGGAGUAAAGUUAAUACCUUUGCUCAUUGACGUUACCCGCAGAAGAAGCACCGGCUAACUCCGUG